rnacentral:rRNA from 1 species
AACGAACGCUGGCGGCAGGCCUAACACAUGCAAGUCGGGCGAGGACUUCGGUCCUAGCGGCGGACGGGUGAGUAACGCGUGGGAACGUGCCCUUUGCUUCGGAAUAGCCCUGGGAAACUGGGAGUAAUACCGGAUGAGCCCUUCGGGGGAAAGAUUUAUCGGCGAAGGAUCGGCCCGCGUUGGAUUAGGUAGUUGGUAGGGUAAUGGCCUACCAAGCCGACGAUCCAUAGCUGGUUUGAGAGGAUGAUCAGCCACACUGGGACUGAGACACGGCCCAGACUCCUACGGGAGGCAGCAGUGGGGAAUCUUAGACAAUGGGGGAAACCCUGAUCUAGCCAUGCCGCGUGAGCGAUGAAGGCCUUAGGGUUGUAAAGCUCUUUCAGCUGGGAAGAUAAUGACGGUACCAGCAGAAGAAGCCCCGGCUAACUCCGUG